rnacentral:ncRNA from 1 species
CCUUACCCCAUGCGUCGCUGAUUCCGGUCAGCACCAUGCCCAGGCAGCUCCGGUCCUCAAGGCUGCAUCCUGGUAUGCCAGGACGACCGAUCCAGUCCGCUCCGCAUCGCCUCGCGGACGAUCGCCCCAACCGGGCGACG